rnacentral:rRNA from 1 species
UAUGUGAUCGUCUCUCGCAUAUCAAUAAGCGGAGGAAAAGAAACUAACAAGGAUUCCCCUAGUAACGGCGAGUGAAGCGGGAAGAGCUCAAAUUUGAAAUCUUAAAGGGUUUCCCUUUACGAAUUGUAGUUUAAAGAAGUGUUUUCUGUUGAGGUUUUGGUAAAAGUUCUUUGGAAUAGGACAUCAUAGAGGGUGAGAAUCCCGUAUUUGACCUUUACUUUCAACUUUGUGAUACACUUUCAAAGAGUCGGAUUGUUUGGGAAUGCAGUCCAAAAUGGGUGGUAAAUUUCAUCUAAAGCUAAAUAUUGGCGAGAGACCGAUAGCGAACAAGUACCGUGAGGGAAGGAUGAAAAGAACUUUGAAAAGAGAGUUAAACAGUACGUGAAAUUGUCAAAAGGGAAGCGUUUGACACCAGUGUUGUUUUUCUGAAAAUCAAUUAAAGAACUGUUUAUGCUAAGUUGUUUAGACUUUAUCAGCUAUCUGUUUAGUUUUGAGCUUUUCUUUAAUGCACUUUUCAGUCAACAAGUCAACAUCAAUUUCUUUUGCUGUAAAAAAGCUUGAGGAAGGUGGCUUGAGAUUCGUCUUAAGUGUUUAUAGCCUCUUGCCUAUGCAGUCGGAGAGAUUGAGGUCUGCAGCGUAGAUCCUUCGGGGCUAAAUGCAUUUGUGCUAAGUUAUAGCAUUUUAUAGACAACUUGUUGACUAUGAUUUGUCUUGUAGCUUACUCGCUUAUGUUAUUUUACCUACGCUUAGGAUGUUGACGAGACUGUCGAUCUC